CGCCGCCUCAGCGCAGCCGGGCGCGCGGCGAUGUUCGUCAGGAAUGGAAACGCGGCCGUGCGGGCCCGUGGGUUUCCAAAGAGCAACCCUAAAACUGGGCGCAGGGCGGUUUGGGCUGUAAAUCCUUUCGCCUACCGUCAACAGUGUUGCUUUGCUGCUUCAAGAGCAGUUGGAGGGCGAGCGUGCUGCUGCUCUCAUGUGCUAGGACUUGUAUCUGUGGCACAGGUUUAUUCAAGAUGAUAAACGGCAUUUAUAGAGUGGUUGGAUCAGAGCAACUUGAAGAACGGGAAGAAUCCAGCACUGACCUCAUCAUAUAUAUACCCUAGGACUUGGGCAGAUAAAAGGAAGCACAGAGCUACUUGAGCAGUCUUCUGCAUCACUGGACACAGACCAGACCCACUAUAAAACCUCGUGUAAGCACUGAAGGAGAUUAUGGUAGGACAUCGUGGAGAGAAGAAGUUGCCUAACUGCAGAACCGCCAUAAAUGAUGCAAGUAGCCCGAAGCCACAUCAAGAGCCAGAAAUAAAAUCUGUUGAUGCGUAACAAGGAAACGUCUAAAGCUCAAAAGAAGGCUACCUCUUUUCAAAAAAUCUGCAGCAAUUAGAAGCAGCUGGAGUUUAAGGAAGGACUGCAAGACUUUAUCUGCCUAAGACUCAACUAAGCACCCACCCAAUGGUACUCCGCAUUUACAUUACGACAACUUUUGGUAUAGCGUUACACAGCCUGUUUGCUAUGAAAAUAUUUGUAAGUUACCCUAAUUUUGCAGUUUUGCGUGAACAUUAUUUGGUAUGCCUGUUUAAAUAUAUAACGCGCGACUCUGAUUUAUUAGAAAAGAAAAAACGGGUAAGGUAUUGCAAAAGCAUUUUCCUCUGUAGAGUAUUAUCUGCCUCUUUCCCUAUCAUCUCUAGUUCUGUGUGACUUCUGUGUGACCGGUUGUUUUCAGAGACAUUAAAAAAAAAGUGUUAGCAACAGAACUUUGUCUAUUUCAGACUUUUAUACCAGCAAAAUAUCUGAAGUUUCUUUAGCAUGAAGUCAAAAUCAAAAUUGGUAAGUGUGUUUUUUGGCUUAAUCACUUAGCAAAAACGUGGAAAACAGCUUGAAACACUUCUUUCUCCUAUGGAACUUUUCCAAGGUUUUCUGGGUCAUAGUAAAAAGUUACACCAGCAGUAGUUGGAAUUGACAGGCGCUUUUUUGGAGACGCUGAAUUGUGUGAUAAUAAAAAUCUCAAGCUAGAUAAAAUUAACCUAAUUUUGGCUGCUUGAUUACAAGGGCAGUACAAAUUAGUACAAAUUCUGUUUUCUAACCUGAGGCCAGCACUGGCUGUGAACUUUAGUAAGUUAACAACUCAUGUUUCUGGACCUCUGUGACUGGAACACGUUGGCCUGCCUGCUAAGGAAUCCCUGUAGGCUCUCUGAAGUCAAUCAGGUAAGGAGAUUACAGCAGCAGUGUUCUGUUAAUCUAGGGAAGCAAGCAGGCUGAACUGGCAAAGUACAUAUACACAGUGUUCAGCAUUACUUCAGAAUUUGGGGAUUGCACGUCUGUUGCCAUUAUUUAAGGACGUUGCAUACUCAGGAUUAACUGACAUUACAGAGAAAUUAGAAGUAACUAACAUGGGCAAGAAAGACACCUCCCAAAAUUGGAAGUAUUUUUCUUAUUUUCUAGAAGUGCGUAAUGAUUGCUAAUACUGAUAACUGAGCCUCCACAAUACCACUGCCUGCAUCUGCUUGUUCAUACAAGCGUGUGCGUGCUUCCCUGGAUGAAGGGAGGAUUUGAAGUGAACUCUGUGGCAGAAGAUGCACUCUGAACUCAGACUGCAUUAUAAAAACAAUGAA
rnacentral:lncRNA from 1 species